GACUGGGUCCUGCACGGCAGAACCUUCAAACCGUGUCAGGCCUUGACGGGAGCAGCACUAAGAAGUCUCUUCUGGGUGUUGCAGGUAACCCGGCCUGA
rnacentral:SRP_RNA from 1 species